rnacentral:rRNA from 1 species
UACGAAGGGGGCUAGCGUUGCUCGGAAUCACUGGGCGUAAAGGGUGCGUAGGCGGGUCUUUUAAGUCAGGGGUGAAAUCCUGGAGCUCAACUCCAGAACUGCCUUUGAUACUGAGGAUCUUGAGUUCGGGAGAGGUGAGUGGAACUGCGAGUGUAGAGGUGAAAUUCGUAGAUAUUAGGAAGAACACCAGUGGCGAAGGCGGCUCACUGGCCCGGUACUGACGCUGAGGCGCGAAAGCGUGGGGAGCAAACAGG